GAUGAACGCUGGCGGCGUGCCUAAUACAUGCAAGUCGAACGCUGAAGGAGGAGCUUGCUCUUCUGGAUGAGUUGCGAACGGGUGAGUAACGCGUAGGUAACCUGCCUGGUAGCGGGGGAUAACUCUUGGAAACGAUAGCUAAUACCGCAUGACAACAGUUAUUGCAUGAUAACUGUUUAAAAGGGGCAACUGCUCCACUACCAGAUGGACCUGCGUUGUAUUAGCUAGUUGGUGAGGUAACGGCUCACCAAGGCGACGAUACAUAGCCGACCUGAGAGGGUGAUCGGCCACACUGGGACUGAGACACGGCCCAGACUCCUACGGGAGGCAGCAGUAGGGAAUCUUCGGCAAUGGACGGAAGUCUGACCGAGCAACGCCGCGGGAGUGAAGAAGGUUGUCGGAUCGGAAAGCUCUGUUGUAAGAGAAGAACGAGUGUGAGAGUGGAAAGUUCACACUGUGACGGUAACUUAACAGAAAGGGACGGCUAACUACGUG
rnacentral:rRNA from 1 species